CACAGGGGCCCACAGGCGAACAAAACUUGGAGAGAUCACAAUGCAAGCAGGAUACAGGGAUGCCAAGUCACAGACUUGUCCAGGCCUCCAUAUUGCCAAUUUUAAGCCCUGACCACAUGACUGCGGGGAAACAUGAAUAUGAGAAGGCAAGCCUGAAGAUGUGAUUGACAUGGAGGUCCCAGAGAAGAGAGGAACCCUUUGGCCUUUGCCAGUCUUGGCCUGGCCCUCUGCGUUUUUAUCUGUCAGCCAUGUGGGCCAGUCCUCCUCAUCCAGCCUCAACUGAGGGGAUCCUGCUUGUUGGGGAGGAUCAAAUGCUUGCCUCUGCUUCAGAGUUGCAGUGAAGAUGGCGGGAGCAGACUGAGGCCUGGUGUUUAUGGCAUGUGUUCUGGGCCUGAGCUGCUCAACAGGACACCCAGAGGGAGCUGGGGACCCUUGGCACCAGAGCAUUUGCAGAGGUAAUGAGCUACCAUCCAGGGGGAUGCUGCAUGGGAGGGACUUUGACAUCACGACUGAGGAUGAAGUGUCCAUCUAGUGAGCGCCCACUCACUUGGCAACAUGAAAGGGCUUUAUCAUGGGACAGGAAGGAGUCUGCAUGCUGGAGCCUCCUUAAUAGGCCAAGUGGUGCUCAGAAGACUCUAGUUGCUCCUGACAACUUAGGGGCAGAGGCUCUGUGUGAUCCCAUUCCACAGACGGGGAAAUGGAAGCUUUUUGCCCACAUUCAUACUUGCAAUCUCUAGUUGUCACAAUUCCAAUUAACUUUUCCAUGUACCUCACAACUUGCUGUCCUGAGGUGCCACCUGCAAGGGGACUGAGAAGCAUUCAGGAUUGAAGGUGGCCCUGGGAGAAUAGUGCAGCACCUGCCACCAGGGCCAGGCAAGUUGUUGUCUCUGGAGAGGGCAUGCUCAGGACUCGACGCCUGCCUCUCCCUCAAUGAGGAGCCUUGCCAGGCCAUUCACUCCACAGGGCCCAGCACCCUCUUUGCCAUGCGUGAGUGCUGAGCUGAAAGCCGCCUCAGACUGGUCCUGAAGAGCAGCGCAUUCUUCCCGAUGUUGACAGGAGUAGUAUUUUGUAGUGGUGCUGGUUAAUUUGUAGUGGCAUUUGUGGUUUGAAGCCUUGUCAAGAUCCCUGAUUACUUCCCGUGCAAGGAGCGCGGCUGACGGGGAAGUUCACAUGCUGAACAAAAGCAGCCAGGCAGCUGGGAGGGAAGGCUACACCACGCCGGGUGACCCUGGCCGCUUGGGGGACAGUG